rnacentral:rRNA from 1 species
GCGGACGGGUGAGUAACGCGUAAGAACCUGCCCUUGGGAGGGGAACAACAGCUGGAAACGGCUGCUAAUACCCCAUAGGCUGAGGAGCAAAAGGAGGAAUCCGCCCAAGGAGGGGCUCGCGUCUGAUUAGUUAGUUGGUGAGGCAAUGGCUUACCAAGGCGACGAUCAGUAGCUGGUCCGAGAGGAUGAUCAGCCACACUGGGACUGAGACACGGCCCAGACUCCUACGGGAGGCAGCAGUGGGGAAUUUUCCGCAAUGGGCGAAAGCCUGACGGAGCAAUGCCGCGUGAAGGCAGAAGGCCCACGGGUCAUGAACUUCUUUUCUCGGAGAAGAAAAAAUGACGGUAUCUGAGGAAUAAGCAUCGGCUAACUCUGUGCCAGCAGCCGCGGUAAGACAGAGGAUGCAAGCGUUAUCCGGAAUGAUUGGGCGUAAAGCGUCUGUAGGUGGCUUUUCAAGUCCGCCGUC